AUGGGCAGGCCUCGCCAGCGCCGUGGUGCCGUUCCUGGCAAAGGAGCCAGCCUAGGUGGACGUUCAGGUGGACGCACAGGCAGCUCCGAGGCCAGGACGCUGUCCUGGCCGCCUCGGGCCCGUCUCCUGGGCGGACCCCCGGAGAGUUGCCACCUGCCCGUGAGGCCGCUGAGCAGGCCCCGUCUUGCUGGUGGUGGCCCCGGCGCCGCGAGCCAGGCUGGGAGCUGGAGCCUCCUCCUGCCACAGCACCGGGGGGCUCAGUGGGGUGGAGAACCUACUCUCCCCGGCUCAGACCCCUGGGCUCCCUGGUGGGAGACAGGCAAGUGGUGUAUGUCCUUCAUGCGGCGAGUGCGAAAUAUCAGCUCUCCCCUUCCUCCCUGCAGCUGGACGCCCGUGACGCCUCAUGACCCCCCACAUGCCAGGCCAAGACUCCACCUGGAGACAAGUCUACAGCCGAGCAGCCUGCCGGUGCCCGAGCCUCGCCCAGGCCUGGACCCCCGGCUUCUCCCGGGAGAGCCCCGCAGGCCGUGGAUGGUGCGAGGCGCCCCCCGCGAAGCCCUCGCUGCCUUCCGCCUGCGCCAGCUCUGCCCUCUGCUUUCUUUCCCUUGCCCGGCGGCUCCGCAGCUCUGGGCCCCAAGGGUGCCUCCUCCGCUCUGCGUUGGCCUCAUCUGACCUCGCGUCAGGUUACGACGUGUGUGCACAGGUGAACCAAGCACAUGAUUUGGGGUUUUCGUUGGGGUGUGCUGCGUGAUAACCUGUCUGUCGCUAACAGCAGGGACGGCGCGUGUGGUUGCGAAAUACUGUCAUCCAUUUGCACCCAAAUCUGGGGACUCAUUGACCCCUUUCCACUUCUUUCAGUUAAAAUUGCAUUAAAGCAUUGAAAAAAUCUAAUUACCUUAAUGAACAAUAGGAAACAUGAAAGAAGAGGGAAAACCCAGAAACACAAGGGCCGCUGGCGGGUUUCUUCCUAGGAGGAGGGGGCGGGGCGGGCUGGCCCCCGGCGCCCAACGAACGGCCCAGCCGCUUGCCCGAGCCGAGCCCCCGGAAGUGCUCCCUGUGUCCGUUAGGGGUUAGGCACCUUCUGCUUAGUGUUAUUUUAUUUCCUUAACUAAAAGCAGCACAUGCGCAUGGAGCACAGGAGCCCCGAGAGCCGGUAGCCAGCCCCCCCGGGGUCGACUGCUGUUAAGGGCUCCUCGGCACCUGCUGGCCCGUCCUGCGCCCCCGGCCCUGCUGUCUACUGCUGAGGAUUGACCCGGUUCAUCCACGUGUCCACACGAGGGCCACUCACAUUUCACCUUAAAAGCAACUACUUCAGGGUGCUUCCCGGACGAAUCCAAGCUACUGUGAAGAAUUUUGUCGCGCAAUCAAAAGAAAGUGGACUGUGAUCCUGCUGUGAACUGGGACCCUGAUAAAACAUCACGUCCCAACCGCUCCUCACAGCGCUGACGCUGGGUCUGCCCUAGACC
rnacentral:lncRNA from 1 species